rnacentral:rRNA from 1 species
AGAGUUUGAUCAUGGCUCAGAUUGAACGCUGGCGGCAGGCUUAACACAUGCAAGUCGAGCGGAUGAAGGUAGCUUGCUACUGGAUUCAGCGGCGGACGGGUGAGUAAUGCUUAGGAAUCUGCCUAUUAGUGGGGGACAACGUUCCGAAAGGGGCGCUAAUACCGCAUACGUCCUACGGGAGAAAGCAGGGGACCUUCGGGCCUUGCGCUAAUAGAUGAGCCUAAGUCGGAUUAGCUAGUUGGUAGGGUAAAGGCCUACCAAGGCGACGAUCUGUAGCGGGUCUGAGAGGAUGAUCCGCCACACUGGGACUGAGACACGGCCCAGACUCCUACGGGAGGCAGCAGUGGGGAAUAUUGGACAAUGGGGGGAACCCUGAUCCAGCCAUGCCGCGUGUGUGAAGAAGGCCUUUUGGUUGUAAAGCACUUUAAGCGAGGAGGAGGCUACCUAGAUUAAUACUUUAGGAUAGUGGACGUUACUCGCAGAAUAAGCACCGGCUAACUCUGUGCCAGCAGCCGCGGUAAUACAGAGGGUGCGAGCGUUAAUCGGAUUUACUGGGCGUAAAGCGUGCGUAGGCGGCCAAUUAAGUCAAAUGUGAAAUCCCCGAGCUUAACUUGGGAAUUGCAUUCGAUACUGGUUGGCUAGAGUAUGGGAGAGGAUGGUAGAAUUCCAGGUGUAGCGGUGAAAUGCGUAGAGAUCUGGAGGAAUACCGAUGGCGAAGGCAGCCAUCUGGCCUAAUACUGACGCUGAGGUACGAAAGCAUGGGGAGCAAACAGGAUUAGAUACCCUGGUAGUCCAUGCCGUAAACGAUGUCUACUAGCCGUUGGGGCCCUUGAGGCUUUAGUGGCGCAGCUAACGCGAUAAGUAGACCGCCUGGGGAGUACGGUCGCAAGACUAAAACUCAAAUGAAUUGACGG